AGACAAUUCUUCAAACUCUUGGUUUACAAAAAGUCCCCGAACCUGUGUGUUCAACGUCCUAUGAAGUCAUACUGGUUGUUGUCAGAUGGAUUGUCCUGCAGAUAAUUGCUGUAGUUUUCUACAGAAAGAAGAGUGUUGUGAAGGACAAAAUGGUUCAGAGUGUACAAAAUUUCAUAUCUGAUACAAGUGUUGUUCCGUUGCAUCGCCAUUUGAUGCCAUUUGAGCCGCUGAACAUGUAAGGGCCAGUGUUUCAGAGGGAAUAAUUUUCUUCAGUGAAGUUGCAUCUGUAGACAUUGGCAAUGUGGAAAAGAAUGCGAUCGAAAAUGUUUCAGGGGGAAGGAUUUUCUUCAAUGAAAUUGAACCUAAAGGCAUUGGCAGUGUGGAGAAGAAUGCAACCGAAAGAACAAGUGUUUCAGAGGGAAUAAUUUUCUCGAACGAAAUUGAAUCUGUAGGCAUUGGUAAUAUAGAGGAGAAAGUGAUUGAAGAUUUCUCCUCUUCG